rnacentral:rRNA from 1 species
UACGUAGGGUGCGAGCGUUAAUCGGAAUUACUGGGCGUAAAGUGUGCGCAGGCGGCCGUUCAAGUCAGAUGUGAAAGCCCCGGGCUCAACCUGGGAAUUGCAUUUGGGACUGAAUGGCUAGAGAUCGGGAGAGGAGAGUGGAAUUCCCAGUGUAGAGGUGAAAUUCGUAGAUAUUGGGAAGAACACCAGUGGCGAAGGCGGCUCUCUGGACCGAUACUGACGCUGAGGCGCGAAAGCGUGGGGAGCAAACAGG